UACGGAGGGUGCAAGCGUUAUCCGGAUUCACUGGGUUUAAAGGGUGCGUAGGUGGGUUGGUAAGUCAGUGGUGAAAUCUCCAGGCUUAACUUGGAAACUGCCAUUGAUACUAUCAGUCUUGAAUACCGUGGAGGUCAGCGGAAUAUGUCAUGUAGCGGUGAAAUGCUUAGAUAUGACAUAGAACACCAAUUGCGAAGGCAGCUGGCUACACGAAUAUUGACACUGAGGCACGAAAGCGUGGGGAUCAAACAGG
rnacentral:rRNA from 1 species